rnacentral:lncRNA from 1 species
CCCGUUUUUGCUAGAGACCAAGGACCCGGAAUAAGCACUGAGCCUGCGGUACCGGGCCUCCCCGACUCCUCAUUCCUGGGGUUAAAAAAAAAAAAAUAAGACGCAGGCUGGGCGCGGUGGCUCAGGCCUGUAAUCCCAGCACUUUGGGAGGCCGAGGCUGGUGGAUCACCUGAGGUCAGGAGUUCGAGACCAGCAUGGCCAACAUGGUGAAACCCCGUCUCUACUAAAACUACAAAAAUUAGCCUAGCGUGGUGGCAGGCGCCUGUAAUCCCAGCUACUCGGGAGGCUGAGGCAAGAGAAUCGCUUGCGCCCAGGAGGCAGAGGUUGCGGUGAGCCGAGAUCGCACCACUGCACUCCAGUCUGGGUGACAUAGAUCCUGUCUCAAAAAAAUAAAUAAAUAAAUAAAAUAAAAAUCAGACUCACACUUUUUGUCUGAGAACUAAAAGCAGCCUCUCUGGUGGAUUGGGUUUGGCUGAGCCCCUAAUGAUGCUCCCCAGAGUAGGCGCUGCCAACGUGUAGCUUCACCUUUCUACUCCAGACAGGCCCCUUUGACCUCCGUGAGGUUGGCUAAUAUAGAGACCCCAGCAUGGACUUGCAGGGGCGCCUGGUGGGAGAGGGGUGUGGAGCAGAGCCUGCUGGGCCUGCUCGGAGACUUGCCUUGCAGGAGGGUCUUCCAGGGACGCUUAGCAGGAAGUGGAAAGGCCAGGUCAUCUGCCGGGCCCAGCCUGGCUAAGCAGUGAGUGACAGGUAGGAUAGGCCAGUGUGAGGACAUAAAGUUCAGGCUCCAGGCCCACCUCUACAACUGAGGUCCCCAGAUGACUCUACGUUACCCCUCAGAGGGGCUACUUGGGACUCCAAGCAGGAAGGUUUACGAACGUUAUUUGCGGGCCCGCCCUUCACCCCUGCUGCACAGCUUCCCCUAGUGGAUUUGGCCGUAAAUGAGCAGACUGGUGCCUCCAGAGCAGCCCUCACCUUGGUGCCCCUGUGUUUGUCUUCACCCGGCUGGGGUCCAGGGAGAUGCAAAGAAUCCAUCAGAGAACAGGUGAGCAUGUUGAGAAGAACCAGAGAACCAGAAAUAACCUGGGCUGGCAACCUUGGCCUUCAGGCUUCUGAGGCAUUGACGUGCAGAUAUAAGUACCUCCCCUGAGUUAGGGACUGGUAGAAGAAACGGGAUGUGGACAUUUCAGUCUGAGAAAGUCUUGAGGAGCAGGAUGAACCAGGGUGUCCUUCCCCCUCUCAGGAAGUAAUUUCAGGGAGGUGAAGUGAGGAAGACCACUCUGUUGGGGUCCCUGUACCCAAUAGGCUCCAGGCCAAAAGGGAAAGGUCCCAGCUAGAGCAGGACCCAGCUGCUACAAGGCUGGGGAAUUAUCAUUCAGCUACAGGAGCUGCAUGGAGCCGGCCCGGGAGGCUUGCAGACAGUGGCCACCCCGAUGAAUGCCCGGGCCAGACCUGACUGGCUGCCGCCCACAGGAGUGGCAGGAACACUUGUUGGAAGCGCCAGAUGCUUGUGUGAGCAGAGCUGCCAAGCUAGAUGAGCUGGAACUAGACUAGGAAGAUCAAUCCUUUACAAACAUCUGAGGAAGAAAAAAUGCAGUGGAAGAAUCGGGGAGGGUGCAUGGGUUAUGAUUCCUAAUUUUUAAACAAAGGAACUCUAGUCUCUCAAGGGAAGUACACAGUUGCUGCACAUACCUGUUUUCCCCAAAAUACCCAUUUGUCUUCAGGAAAGUUUUUCUUUAGAAACUUCAGAAUUUUGGUCGGGCAGAGUGGUUCACACCUGCCUGUAAUCCCAGCACUCUGAGAGGUCGAGGCGGGCAUACUGUCUGAAGUCAGGAGUUCGAGACCAGCCUGGCCAACAUGGCGAAACCCCAUCUCUACCAAAAAUACCAAAAAAAAAAAAAAAAUUAGUUGGGUGUGGUGGUGCACACCUGUAGUCCCAGCUACUCCGGAAGCUGAGGCAGGAGAAUCUUUUGAACCUGUGAGGUGGAGGUUGCAGUGAGCCGAGAUCGUGCCAAUGCACUCCAGCCUGAGUGAUAGAGCGAGACUCUGACUCAAAAAAAAGGUGGGCAUGGUGGCACAGACCUGUAGUCCCAGCUCCUCAGGACUGGGUCGAGGGCAGAGUGGCCAGACGCGACAGCGUAUACUGGGGGAAAGACAUAUUGGCGACCCAGCGCACAUCUGCCUAUAAUACUUAAAUAAUCUUAAGAUCGUGGAUAAUAGUGAUCUUAUUAAAAUAUGAAACUAUGGGUUUUCAGUAUUUCCUUUUAUUAGCAUAAUUUAACCAUAAAUGUAUCUGAUUUAUAAAUAAUGGCUGUGUAGCAGUUGGUGUACAAAACUCCUGAAAGCUUAACAGCUAGCGGUCCCGCUGCACCCUGGCCCACACUGGCUCCCACAAGCUACUGCCAGGCUCUGACAAGGCAUCAGGGCCCUGCCUGUCUGCAGCUUUUGCCCCAAGACUUUGGGGCUCCUCAGCUCAGGGCAGAGCCUGAGCUCCAGCCUGGGUCCACCCUCGGCCACGCCGCCUUUAAUGCUCCUCCAACCUCCGGGCCACAGAUACAACAUUCCUAAAAAUUCUGAAGUUUCUAUUUCUUUUUUUUUUUUUAAACAGACAGAGUCGUCUUGCUCUGUCACCCAGCCUGGAGUGCCGUGAUCUCGGCUCACUGUAACUUCUGCAACUUCUGCCUCCCGGGUUCUAGCAAUUCUCCUUCCUCAGCCUCCAGAGUAGCUAGGAAUACAGGCGCACGCCGCCACACCCGGCUAAUUUUUUGUAUUUUAGUAGAGACGGUUUCACUGUGUUGCCCAGGCUGGUCUCGAGCUCUUGAGUUCAGGCAAUCCACCUGCCUCGGCCUUUCCAAGUGCUAGGAUUACAGGCAUGAGCCACCACGCCCGACAUUUUUUUUUUUUUUUUUUUUUUGAGAGGGAGUCUCGCUCUGUCACCCAGGCUGGAGUGCAAUGGCGCGAUCUCAGCUCACUGCAACCUCCACUUCCCAGUCUCAAGCGAUUCUCCUGCCUCUGGAGAAUGAUCUUAAGAUGACUGAACAUCAUAGGCAGGUGUGUGCUGGGUCGCCGAGAUGUCGCUCCCCAAGUAUAUACUCCGUCGCACCUGGCCUCUGCCCUCGGCCCUCAGCGCAGCCAAACAGGACAUAUCUCCAGAAACCCGGAGGGCACAAGCCCAGCUGUUGGCCAUUCAGAGCGCAGCCUAAAUGGGAGCACCUGCUUCAGUACGACGUCCCUAACCGCCAAGGGCUCAUCAAGAUCCUGCCUUGAUUCAUCGGAUCUGUGCAAGAUUAGCAAAUGUCUACCCUAAUUUUAGACCCACUCCUAAAAACUCACUCUUGGGAGCUAUGUUUGGAAUGGGGACCCUCUUCCUCUGGUAUUAUGUUUUCAAAAAACUUAUCCAAGAAGGAAAAUUGGAUCAAACGUUUAACAUCUCAUAUUAAAUCUGGCAAUGACAACUGCAUGUAUUCUUGCUUAAAUAAACGGUCUAUCAAUUUUUUUUUUGUUGUUGUUGUUGUUUUUUAAGGAUUGUGGGCCGGGUACAGUGACUCACGCCUGUAAUCCCGGCACUUUGGGAGGCCAAGGCAGGCAGAUCACUUGAGGUCAGUUCGAGACCAGCCUGGCCAACAUGGCGAAACCCCGUCUCUACGCAAAAUACAAAAAUUAGCCGGGCGUGGUGGCGCAUGCCUGUAAUCCCAGCUGCUCAGGAGGCUGAGACAGGAGGAUCACUUAAACACAGGAGGCAGAGUGAGCCAAGGCCAUGCCACGGUGAGUGAUGAAGGAAAAGCUGUAUAAUGGCUACUGCAUGGAAUGAAGUUGUUGGUACUUGAAAUUGGCCAUAUCCAGCCUGGGCAACAUGGCGAGACCGUCUCUUCAAAAAACACAAAAAUUAGCCGGGCGUGGUGACUCACACCUGUAGUCCCAGCUACUCAGGAGACUGAGGUGGGAGGAUCACUUGAGCCCAGGAGUUGAAGACCAGCCUGCAACAUAGUGAGGCCCCAUCUCUACAAAAAAUUAAGAAGGCCGGGCGCGGUGGCUCACGCCUAUAAUCCCAGUACUUUGGGAGGCAGAGGCGGGUAGAUCACGAGGUCAGGAGAUCGAGACCAUCCUGACUAACACGGUGAAACCCCGUCUCUACUAAAAAUACACAAAAAAAUUAGCCGGGCGUGGUGGCGGGC